rnacentral:rRNA from 1 species
CCCAGAUGGGAUUAGCUUGUUGGUGAGGUAACGGCUCACCAAGGCGACGAUCCCUAGCUGGUCUGAGAGGAUGACCAGCCACACUGGAACUGAGACACGGUCCAGACUCCUACGGGAGGCAGCAGUGGGGAAUAUUGCACAAUGGGCGCAAGCCUGAUGCAGCCAUGCCGCGUGUAUGAAGAAGGCCUUCGGGUUGUAAAGUACUUUCAGCGGGGAGGAAGGUGUUGUGGUUAAUAACC